rnacentral:rRNA from 1 species
UACGUAGGCAGCGAGCGUUGUUCGGAAUUACUGGGCGUAAAGAGUGUGUAGGCGGUGCUCCCAGUCUGUUGUGAAAUCUCCCGGCUUAACCGGGAGGGUGCAGCGGAAACUAGAGUGCUAGAGGGUGGGAGAGGUAAGCGGAAUUCCUGGUGUAGCGGUGAAAUGCGUAGAUAUCAGGAGGAACACCUGUGGUGUAGACAGCUUACUGGACCACUUCUGACGCUGAGACACGAAAGCGUGGGUAGCAAACAGG